UACGAAGGGGGCUAGCGUUGCUCGGAAUGACUGGGCGUAAAGGGCGUGUAGGCGGUUUGUACAGUCAGAUGUGAAAGCCCCGGGCUUAACCGGGGAGCGGCAUUUGAAACGUGCAGACUAGAGUGCAGGAGAGGGAUGUGGAAUUCCCAGUGUAGAGGUGAAAUGCGUAGAUAUUGGGAGGAACACCAGUGGCGAAGGCGGC
rnacentral:rRNA from 1 species